AGACCCAGUUUGGAAAUAUUUUAAUGAAGUUUCUCUACCUGUUGGUAAGUCAGGCAUGCAUGCAAAAUGCAAACAGUGCACAAAAGAAAUGCAAGGCCUGGUUGCCCGAAUGAAACGACAUCAUGGGAAGUGUUCUUUCUCAGGAGGAAGCUGCAUUGAAGAUGAUGAAAGGAACAUGUCUGAACAUGCAGGAUCUUCAGGAGAAUACAUCCUCAACAUACAAGAUUCUGAAGACUGUUGAAGUGAUAAUCUCACUUUUAAUAGCAGUAGCUUCUUCUGCCGAUGUAGAAAAUAUUUUCUUCCUUUGGACUAAUUCAUUCCAAACUGAGAAAUAGUUUGGGACCUAAAAAAGCAGGAAAGCUUGUUUUUCUUUUCCAGAUUAUGAACAAAUAGAAAAAUGAAGGUGAAGACGACUGAGUUAGCUGCAGAAGACAGUUUUUUAAGUUUCUUAUGUUGAUCUGGCUGACAGUCUAUUUAAUUUUUGAUUUUUUUAUUUAAAAAAUUAACUAUUUUAGUUAA